rnacentral:rRNA from 1 species
UGAACGCUGGCGGCGUGCCUAACACAUGCAAGUCGAACGGUGAACCUUGCUUUUAGUAAGGGGAACAGUGGCGGACGGGUGAGUAACACGUAGGUGACCUGCCCCAAAGAGGGGAAUAACCAUUCGAAAGGAUGGCUAAUACCCCGUAAGGUCGGCGAUUCGGUUGGUCGAUUAAAGCUUCUCGCAAGAGAGGCGCUUUGGGAGGGGCUUGCGGCCCAUCAGCUAGUUGGUAGGGUAAUGGCCUACCAAGGCAAAGACGGGUAGCUGGUCUGAGAGGACGAUCAGCCACAAUGGCACUGAAACACGGGCCAUACUCCUACGGGAGGCAGCAGUGAGGAAUAUUGCACAAUCAACGAAAGUUGGAUGCAGCAACGCCGCGUGGACGAUGAAGGCCUUCGGGUUGUAAAGUCCUUUUAAGAGGGAAGAGAGAGGACGGUACCUCUUGAAUAAGUCUCGGCUAACUAC